rnacentral:rRNA from 1 species
ACCCGCUGAACUUAAGCAUAUCAAUAAGCGGAGGAAAAGAAACCAACAGGGAUUGCCCUAGUAACGGCGAGUGAAGCGGCAACAGCUCAAAUUUGAAAUCUGGCCCUCGGGUCCGAAUUGUAAUUUGUAGAGGAUGCUUUUGGUGAGGUACCUUCCGAGUUCCCUGGAACGGGACGCCAUAGAGGGUGAGAGCCCCGUCUGGUUGGAUACCGAUCCUCUGUAAAGCUCCUUCGACGAGUCGAGUAGUUUGGGAAUGCUGCUCUAAAUGGGAGGUAUAUGUCUUCUAAAGCUAAAUAUUGGCCAGAGACCGAUAGCGCACAAGUAGAGUGAUCGAAAGAUGAAAAGCACUUUGAAAAGAGAGUUAAAAAGUACGUGAAAUUGUUGAAAGGGAAGCGCUCAUGACCAGACUUGGGCUUGGUUGAUCAUCCAGGGUUCUCCCUGGUGCACUCUUCCAGCCCAGGCCAGCAUCAGUUCGCUGUGGGGGAUAAAGGCUUUGGGAAUGUGGCUCCUCCGGGAGUGUUAUAGCCCAUUGUGUAAUACCCUGUGGUGGACUGAGGUUCGCGCAUCUGCAAGGAUGCUGGCGUAAUGGUCAUCAGCGACCCGUCUUGAAACACGGACCAAGGAGUCGUCUUCGUAUGCGAGUGUUCGGGUGUUAAACCCCUACGCGUAAUGAAAGUGAACGCAGGUGAGAGCUUCGGCGCAUCAUCGACCGAUCCUGAUGUUCUCGGAUGGAUUUGAGUAAGAGCAUACGGGGCCGGACCCGAAAGAAGGUGAACUAUGCCUGUAUAGGGUGAAGCCAGAGGAAACUCUGGUGGAGGCUCGCAGCGGUUCUGACGUGCAAAUCGAUCGUCAAA